rnacentral:rRNA from 1 species
UACGGGGGGGGCAAGCGUUGUUCGGAAUUACUGGGCGUAAAGGGCUCGUAGGCGGCCAACUAAGUCGGAUGUGAAAUCCCCAGGCUCAACCUGGGAACUGCAUCCGAUACUGGUUGGCUUGAGUUUGGGAGAGGGAUGCGGAAUUCCAGGUGUAGCGGUGAAAUGCGUAGAUAUCUGGAGGAACACCGGUGGCGAAGGCGGCAUCCUGGACCAAUACUGACGCUGAGGAGCGAAAGCCAGGGGAGCAAACGGG